rnacentral:lncRNA from 1 species
GGGGACCUGCAUUUCAUGCUGCAGGCACAGGUACCUCAGCUCAUACACCGCACAAGGAGGAGCCAGGAUAUCCAGCUGCUUUUGGUGAGCUCCAGUUUGCUUCGGGGCUUUCCGUGUCAUAUCUAGUCACUUUUGGUAUUGUAUAGAAGUUAGUUAUAUGGCGGGGUGUGUCCCAACCUUAGUUAAACUCUGUGUAUUGUCUAGAGGCUUUGUAGACCUAAUGUACAGUCAAGGUGGUGUUUUGUUAAUAGACGUGAUGGC